rnacentral:lncRNA from 1 species
UGUUUUGGCGCCCAUACCGGACGGGGUAUGGGGACGGCCCGUUUCACCCUCAUACCGGACGGGGUAAUGGGGUUUAUAGUUUUGGCGCCCAUACCGGACGGGGUAUGGGGACGACCCUGGAAUCUGAUUUCAAGUGUUAAGGAUUAACGGGUAGCGGGACCCCUAUGGAUCCCCAUGGAUACUAGUGGACUGGUAAAAGAGGAAAAUAUGUUGUGUAAUGAUUGAAUUGCAAAAGGCGUGAUAAGUAUUAUGUUAUACAGUUUAUAUAUGAUUUCAUGAUGAUGAUAAUGUUAUUGCUUUCGUAUACUGUUUUAUGAAUUUCACCGAGGUAAGUGGAUGGUAAAGGAUUUAUUAUU